rnacentral:rRNA from 1 species
UACCAGCACCCCGAGUGGUCGGGACGAUUAUUGGGCCUAAAGCAUCCGUAGCCGGUUUUACAAGUCCUCCGUUAAAUCCAGCUGCUUAACAGAUGGGCUGCGGAGGAUACUAUAAGACUAGGAGGCAGGAGAGGCAAGCGGUACUCAGUGGGUAGGGGUAAAAUCCGUUGAUCCAUUGAAGACCACCAGUGGCGAAGGCGGCUUGCCAGAAUGCGCUCGACGGUGAGGGAUGAAAGCUGGGGGAG